rnacentral:rRNA from 1 species
AGUGAACGCUCGCGGUAGGCCUAACACAUGCAAGUCGAACGGCAGCACAGUAAGAGCUUGCUCUUACGGGUGGCGAGUGGCGGACGGGUGAGGAAUACAUCGGAAUCUACUUUUUCGUGGGGGAUAACGUAGGGAAACUUACGCUAAUACCGCAUACGACCUACGGGUGAAAGCAGGGGAUCUUCGGACCUUGCGCGAUUGAAUGAGCCGAUGUCGGAUUAGCUAGUUGGCGGGGUAAAGGCCCACCAAGGCGACGAUCCGUAGCUGGUCUGAGAGGAUGAUCAGCCGCACUGGAACUGAGACACGGUCCAGACUCCUACGGGAGGCAGCAGUGGGGAAUAUUGGACAAUGGGCGCAAGCCUGAUCCAGCCAUACCGCGUGGGUGAAGAAGGCCUUCGGGUUGUAAAGCCCUUUUGUUGGGAAAGAAAAGCAGCAGGUUAAUACCCCGCUGUUCUGACGGUACCCAAAGAAUAAGCACCGGCUAACUUCGUG